AUAAGAGUCCAGAUGGGUUGAGG
rnacentral:piRNA from 1 species